rnacentral:lncRNA from 1 species
UUGUCGUGUUGGAGGUAGUAGUGGUCGUGCCUCUGGGUCCAGUAGUAAAGGAGGUGGUGGACGUGCUCCUGUUUACAGUGUUUUUGGGUACAGUAGUGGUGGUGGCCAUGGUCGUGGUCAUAUGUUAGGGUAUAAUUUUUACACUACUCACUUCUAGUCAUAAUUUAUGUGUUCAUUAUUGGUCAUGAAAAAUUGCAAGGAAACCAAAGAUGAAUGAAAUUCUAUGGGGAUUGAUGUUGGAAUUAUGAAUUUUCGGUUAAAGUUUCAGGAACCUAUUUAUUGCAAUUGUUGAG